rnacentral:misc_RNA from 1 species
AAGAUUUCGGCUUUGUUUAAGUUCUGGUAUAGUUAAGUUGAAGGAAGAAGUAGCAAAGAGGCUUAAGUUAGAGCUUGGCACUUUCUACAUCAAGUAUCUAGACGAUGAUCUUGAGUUCGUUCCUAUUUCUUGUGAUGCUGAUUUGCAGGAAUGUGUCGAUAUCUCAAGAUCAUCGGGGAGCAGUAUCGUGAGGUUGUUGAUUCAUGAUAUUAUGUCCA